UGGUGGAGCGAUUUGUCUGGUUAAUUCCGAUAACGAACGAGACUCUAGCCUACUAAAUAGAAGGCAAAUUAUUCGUUUGCCGUACUUCUUAGAGGGACUAGGGGCGUCUAGCCUCACGAGAUUGAGCAAUAACA
rnacentral:rRNA from 1 species